GAUGAAGAACGUAGCGAAAUGCGAUAAGUAGUGUGAAUUGCAGAAUUCAGUGAAUCAUCGAAUCUUUGAACGCACAUUGCGCCCUUUGGUAUUCCAAAGGGCAUGCCUGUUCGAGCGUCAUUUCAACCAUCAAGCCCCGGGCUUGUGUUGGGGACCUGCGUCCGACGCAGGCCCUGAAAACCAGUGGCGGGCUCGCUGUCCACACCGAGCGUAGUAACUAACCUCGCUAUGGAGUGGCGCGGGCGCCUGCCGUAAAACCCCCAAUUUCACAAGGUUGACCUCGGAUCAGGUAGGAAUACCCGCUGAACUUAAGCAUAUCAAUAAGCGGAGGA
rnacentral:misc_RNA from 1 species